AGCGAACGCUGGCGGCAGGCUUAACACAUGCAAGUCGAACGGUCCUUCGGGAUAGUGGCGGACGGGUGAGUAACACGUGGGAACGUACCCUUAGGUUCGGAACAACACAGGGAAACUUGUGCUAAUACCGGAUAAGCCCUUCGGGGGAAAGAUUUAUCGCCUUUGGAGCGGCCCGCGUCUGAUUAGCUUGUUGGUGAGGUAAUGGCUCACCAAGGCUACGAUCAGUAGCUGGUCUGAGAGGGUGGCCAGCCACACUGGGACUGAGACACGGCCCAGACGCCGACGGGAGGCAGGAGUGGGGAAUCUUACGCAAUGGGCGAAAGCCUGACGCAGCCAUGCCGCGUGGAUGAUGAAGGUCUUAGGAUUGUAAAAUCCUUUCACCGGGGACGAUAAUGACGGUACCCGGAGAAGAAGCCCCGGCUAACUUCGUGCCAGCCGCCGCCGUAA
rnacentral:rRNA from 1 species